rnacentral:tRNA from 1 species
AAGAAAGUGGCAGAAUGGUUAUGCGGCUGGCUUGAAACCAGUUGAUGGGGGUUCGAUUCCUCUCUUUCUCG